rnacentral:misc_RNA from 1 species
GAUGAGAACGUAGCGAAAUGCGAUAAGUAAUGUGAAUUGCAGAAUUCAGUGAAUCAUCGAAUCUUUGAACGCACCUUGCGCCCUUUGGCUAUUCCGAAGGGCAUGCCUGUUUGAGUAUCAUGAACACCUCAACUCUUCACGGCUUGCCGUGAUGAGUUUGGACUUUGGGGGUCUUGCUGGCCUACGAGCCAGCUCCUCUCAAAUGUAUUAGCUUGCCGGUGUUUGGUGGCAUCACAGGUGUGAUAACUAUCUACGCUUGUGGUUUUCCACUAGGUAACCUUCAGCAAUGGAGGUUCACCGGAGCUCACAAAUGUCUCUCCUUGCCAAGGACAGAUUUUGACCAUUUGAUCUCAAAUCAGGUAGGACUACCCGCUGAACUUAAGCAUAUCAAUAAGCGGAGGA